GUGAUUCUCCCACCUCAGCCUCCUGAAACACAGGGACUACAGACAGUGUCUAGAAGCAAUGACACUACAGUGACAACGCUGCGUAUACCUCCAUAUUCAACAGCAGAGACUCAGAGGACGGAUACUUCACUAAAGAGAACUCCUGUAAAAAUUUUCAACCUAAAAUAGAAUGCUAGCAUAAUGGAACUGAAGGGACACUCAUGGAAAGCCUACAGUGCCUUCUAAUCUUACAGAAAUGAAAAGUUCAUCUUGAGACAUUAAACAAGAAGAAAAAAAUGCUCAUACUUUAUCAUUACAGACUAUAUCCCUUUAGACUACAUUUAUGGGUAUUUAUGGAAAUGAUUUGUAGAAGUGCUACACAUACUAUUCUGCAACAUGCUUUUUUCACUUCAGACUUACAACAUCUUUCUAUGUCAUAUCCUUUAUGACUUUUUUUUUUUUUUUUUUUUUUUUGGUUAGUGAUAAAAACGAAAAUCAAAUCAAACUGGUUUAAGAAAAAGAGUGAAAAGUCCAGGUGCUUUCUUUUUGGUAGGCAUUGUUCAAGGGACCUCUUUCCCACAACUCCAGGCUAUCCUUUGUAUCAACUCUAGCAGAUGAGAAAGAACUUCCCUUUUCCAGUCUUUUGGAUAAAAAGUCCUGGGAUCAAAAUGCUCUGGUCUAACACAGGUCAGGUGCCCAUCUCAGAACCCAUCACUGAGCCAGGAGUCAGGAGAUGCUGACUCAACAGACACGAAUCAUGCCGCCCUGAGGCGGGGUAAUGACUAACUCACUUCACGAAAUGAGAAGAGGAAGGGUGGUGGUCCCUUCAAAGAAAACUAGGGUCCUGUUGCCUGGAAAAGUGAAUGGAUUCUGUGCAGAAAAAUAGCAGAAGUUUACUACAUGUGUCAUUCAGUAUAAUUCUACAUCAUUAUUUUGAUGGUUUCCACAGUUAUCCCAUGAAAUGGAUGAAUCUUUAAUUUGUAGUAACUCUAUCGUUGAACAUGUAGAUUUGUUUCCUGUUUCACAGUGAUAAACACCACUGCUAUGAACACUCUAA